rnacentral:rRNA from 1 species
AACACAUGCAAGUCGAGCGGUAGCACAAGAGAGCUUGCUCUCUGGGUGACGAGCGGCGGACGGGUGAGUAAUGUCUGGGAAACUGCCUGAUGGAGGGGGAUAACUACUGGAAACGGUAACUAAUACGGCAUAACGUCGCAAGACCAAAGAGGGGGAACCUUCGGGCCUCUUGCCAUCAGAUGUGCCCAGAUGGGAUUAGCUAGUAGGUGGGGUAAUGGCUCACCUAGGCGACGAUCCCUAGCUGGUCUGAGAGGAUGACCAGCCACACUGGAACUGAGACACGGUCCAGACUCCUACGGGAGGCAGCAGUGGGGAAUAUUGCACAAUGGGCGCAAGCCUGAUGCAGCCAUGCCGCGUGUGUGAAGAAGGCCUUCGGGUUGUAAAGCACUUUCAGCGAGGAGGAAGGUGGUGAGCUUAAUACACUCAUCAAUUGACGUUACUCGCAGAAGAAGCACCGGCUAACUCCGCGCCAGCAGCCGCGGUAAUACGGAGGGUGCAAGCGUUAAUCGGAAUUACUGGGCGUAAAGCGCACGCAGGCGGUUUGUUAAGUCAGAUGUGAAAUCCCCGGGCUCAACCUGGGAACUGCAUUUGAAACUGGCAAGCUAGAGUCUCGUAGAGGGGGGUAGAAUUCCAGGUGUAGCGGUGAAAUGCGUAGAGAUCUGGAGGAAUACCGGUGGCGAAGGCGGCCCCCUGGACGAAGACUGACGCCCAGGUGCNAAAGCGUGGGGA